AGUGAAGGUGUUCUGUGUUUAUGCUGGUGAAACUGGGCUCCUUGAAUUUCAAUAGCAGGUAGAUGUUCAGGUGAAUCGAUUUGGUGAAUAUGACAUGAAUUCAUGAAUAGCUGUGUGUCGACAGAAACUGCAUUUUUUGGUGAAUAAACUGUUUGCCAAAAUAAUGUUGCCCAGCUCUACUUCUGGACCUCCACUACCAUCAUUCUGCUCUCCUACUUGGUGCUAUGCAAGGGUCUUCAUUUAGGUUCAUCUCUACCAUGAACAUACAAUGGCCAGAAGGGGAAGAUAAUCAGUACGUCGCUGGAAACCCUACAUCCCCUAAAGAUUAGUGCCUCAACUGGAAACACUGUGUUCAAUUUUGGGCAUCGCUUUUUAACACAAACUGAAGAGUGGUCAGAGGAGAACAGCAAAUACUGCAUGCUGAAAAGAUUGGUAAAUAAUACCUGCCGCAUGAGAAAAGAUUAGAAGAGUAUAUAUGGACAAAAGAAGACUGAAUAGGCAUUACUAUCUGUAUGACUAGUUAAGGGAAUACAAUAAAAAGGGGAAUUGUUCUCAUUAGUCAAAGGGGAAAGAACUAAUGAGCUUAAAUUGCUGCAAGGAUAUUAAGGUUAAAUCUUGCAUAAAACUUUUAUAGUCAUUGCCAGGAUGUUUGAACAAGCUGCAAGGAAGGUUGCUGGUGAUAUUCAAGGCGAGACUUGAAAAACCCAUUGAUCAUGGAUAGCUUCGGAAGCACAAAAUCAAUUCCACUGUGAUUCAAGAAAAUGGAUAGGUGAACUAAGUGACCCACGACAAGAGAAUCUCUUACAAAUCUAUGUCACCAAUCAUUCUGUCUCUUUAACGUUUAUCCUUUCACGCAGUUUGGACAAUAAAACUAGAUUGGUCAGUUUCA